CUUAUGCUCCUCCUCUCAGGAGCAAUAAAGCUUACUGCAGAAGGAUCCUGAUCGUGUGCCGCGUCAUUCUUGCGGGCGAGAUAGAGCGCGGGACAAAGAUCAACUUAGGCUGUCAGAGUAUCCUCUGCUGGAAUGGACUUCAGAAAGUCUGCUUGUCCUCUGUGAUGACGUUUCACUAUAUAAAGCUAACUUUUGAAUGUCUCAGACUUGGAAAACAUCAGGAGGAGCAGUAACAACUGGUGGACUUCUCAAUGAUAUAGCUGCCUUUGAAGUCACCUGUGUUCCUGGAUUUUAUUCCUCACCUUGAUGGCAAACACAAGAGCCAUGACUCCCAGGCAAGAACAGCCACAGAUAAUGCUAGUAGCUGCCAAGUAGCGGAGGCGGAGCCAGCAGCAGUGGACAGG